AUUGAACGCUGGCGGCAUGCCUUACACAUGCAAGUCGAACGGCAACAGGUCUUCGGAUGCUGACGAGUGGCGAACGGGUGAGUAAUACAUCGGAACGUGCCCGAUCGUGGGGGAUAACGAGGCGAAAGCUUUGCUAAUACCGCAUACGAUCUACGGAUGAAAGCGGGGGAUCUUCGGACCUCGCGCGGACGGAGCGGCCGAUGGCAGAUUAGGUAGUUGGUGGGAUAAAAGCUUACCAAGCCGACGAUCUGUAGCUGGUCUGAGAGGAUGAUCAGCCACACUGGGACUGAGACACGGCCCAGACUCCUACGGGAGGCAGCAGUGGGGAAUUUUGGACAAUAGGCGAAAGCCUGAUCCAGCCAUGCCGCGUGCAGGAUGAAGGCCUUCGGGUUGUAAACUGCUUUUGUACGGAACGAAAAGCCUCUUUCUAAUAAAGAGGGGUCAUGACGGUACCGUAAGAAUAAGCACCGGCUAACUACGUG
rnacentral:rRNA from 1 species